AGAACAAAAUAAAAGAGAGGUAAUGGGCAGUAGGGAGAGAGAUCUUUCUCAAAGGCAAAGGGGAGGGAGAGAUAGAGGAGGGAGGGAAGGAGCCAGGGGAGGGAGAGGGAUGACAACGGCAGGUUUGUUACGUACAGUCCCUUCGCCACGGGAGGAGCGCAGUCACGAUGCACUGCAGACGUGGACGAAACGUGCAAACAGAGCGUCGCCCGGCAGGACUUUCAGACUUUCAGUUCCGUCCAGGAGGCCCUGUGCCGCUGGGGGGCGCUGUGGGAGUGAGGGCCCUAGAGGCCGGGUGCAGACGGGAGUCCCUGGCCCUGGCCUGAUGGCCACAGUCCCGGUGUCUGUGGGGCCCAGCCGGGCGCCUCCCGCUCUCGGCCAGGCCUGCGGGGCAGAGGCCAGCGGCGUGCAGCGCUCCGGCCGCGCCCCGCCUCCCACCGCCUCUCCUCCGCGUGCCAGGGACCCGGCAUUCAACCCCCGCAGGAGGGCCCGGCUCCUCAGGCUGCGGUCACGGCUUACACCGGCUCCCGGAUGCUCAGUUUCCCCGAACGCAUGUCAGACGAGCACGCAAAACCCGGUGCAAAGAGCUAGAACUGCGUCACAGAAGUGGCUGCCUGCAGUGUGACGCGGGUUCGGGUUCGGGCUGAAGUUCGGGUUCGAGGUCAUCACAGAGCAGCAGCGGCCUGGCGAGUUUUAGUAAAUAGUCACAGGGCGUAGCUCAGAAACGAGGAGUGGCCCGAGCCCCCGUGGCCGCAGGACUGUUUGCGAGACUCGGCCUGUGUUCAGCUGGGCCCUGCCUUCUAAGCGCACAUUCACUCACGAACAGCAGUGGCUGAAUCCCCCGAUGAUACACCACCGCAUGACCACUUACCUCUCCAGGAGUCGCUCAUUCCAGUCAAGAAUGAUUCUUGCGAGAACUUCUGCCCCCAGUCCACUGAUCGCUUCCUUACAGCGAACACCUACCUAGCAGGCUUCCUGCCUCCUGAUCGCUUCUGCCCAGUUUCACUGUAGCAGCCACAGAUUCUGCUGGGACGCGGGGCUAUCCCCAUUACCCAUCUGCCUCCAGCCUCCAGGAAACUUUUCAUCUCACUCAAGCAAGAGCAAGUGUCCGUACAUUCUCCACCUCGCUCGCCAGUACCGCCCUCCCUCACCUCUCUGGUAGUCCUCUCUCCUCCUUCUAUUCUUGCCCUGGGCCAGGCCCUUUCUCCUGCUGUUGCUUUUGUCUUGAAAGCGUCUGGAGUUCAUCCAGGUUGUUCCCUCAUCCUCUCCCACAUUUAGUCAGACUUUCUCAGCCUGUUAACCCCACUGUCCAUCUUUUCCCUGAUUUAUUUUCUCCUUUUCACUUCAAUGAUUUAUCUAUUUGGCUCAUUUACCUGUUUUAUCCAUUACUAUAAAAUGUGAGACCCAUGAAAGCAGGCAUUUCUGUGUCUUGUUCACUGAUCAAUCAGCAAGAUUAUCCCAGUUCCUGGCCCAUGUUAGGUGCGAGGAAAGUAUUUG
rnacentral:lncRNA from 1 species